rnacentral:rRNA from 1 species
CGAGCGGAUGAAGGGAGCUUGCUCCUGGAUUCAGCGGCGGACGGGUGAGUAAUGCCUAGGAAUCUGCCUGGUAGUGGGGGAUAACGUCCGGAAACGGGCGCUAAUACCGCAUACGUCCUGAGGGAGAAAGUGGGGGAUCUUCGGACCUCACGCUAUCAGAUGAGCCUAGGUCGGAUUAGCUAGUUGGUGGGGUAAAGGCCUACCAAGGCGACGAUCCGUAACUGGUCUGAGAGGAUGAUCAGUCACACUGGAACUGAGACACGGUCCAGACUCCUACGGGAGGCAGCAGUGGGGAAUAUUGGACAAUGGGCGAAAGCCUGAUCCAGCCAUGCCGCGUGUGUGAAGAAGGUCUUCGGAUUGUAAAGCACUUUAAGUUGGGAGGAAGGGCAGUAAGUUAAUACCUUGCUGUUUUGACGUUACCAACAGAAUAAGCACCGGCUAACUUCGUGCCAGCAGCCGCGGUAAUACGAAGGGUGCAAGCGUUAAUCGGAAUUACUGGGCGUAAAGCGCGCGUAGGUGGUUCAGCAAGUUGGAUGUGAAAUCCCCGGGCUCAACCUGGGAACUGCAUCCAAAACUACUGAGCUAGAGUACGGUAGAGGGUGGUGGAAUUUCCUGUGUAGCGGUGAAAUGCGUAGAUAUAGGAAGGAACACCAGUGGCGAAGGCGACCACCUGGACUGAUCUGACACUGAGGUGCGAAAGCGUGGGGAGCAACA